ACAAUUAAAUAGGAAAAUGCUCAGUGAUCUCAAGGGGUAGACCCACCCCGGUGCCCCAUCUGCUCAGUUUAGGCAGAGCCAUUAGACAGUGCUGGGGAAAAUGUUUAUCUCUAGUUUACAGAAGGUUCUUUUGGAAUCUCUUUGCCGAACUCAAAAGGGGGGCGUUCUCAGACACAGAUGAUCUCAACAACCUUUGUUUAGGUUGGAAUCCUGGGAAAGUCAUCAAUCUUUGGGCAACUCACAUUUCUAUUUUUGUUCCAGUUAUCCAGCAGAUAAUAAAUAAGUUUUUAGUUCUGCUAAGUGCUAAUUUGAGAGGCAUCUCUUUUUAUUUAUUGGGAGAAAAUACGAAAGAUGCAGCCUAAGAAAUAAUCUGUUGGUGUUGCCGACUCACCUUUUCAGGCAUCUUCAGAAAGAAGUAUUAAAACUUUCCUAGCGUGUUAAAUUCUGCUACCUCACCAACGACAACUUGGACCUUGACCUCCAAUGUGUGUUCGACCAAAUUCCCUUCGUAGAGGCUGGGAAGAGAGGUAUAUCGCUUUCAGCUCAGAGGCUUACGUUGAAAGAGGAAGUUUGGAGAUAAAUGCUCUUUUUCUCUUCAUGUCAGUCUGGUGAGAUGCCCCUUCAACUCUGUGAAGCCCCUUCAACUCUGGCUUGCCCUGGCUAUUGUACUGGCAGAGGGACUGCCAGGGAGAUCUUGUGACUUAUGUUGAGUAUUUAUUCUCUCUGGCAAACCAGAUGGUCAUAACGAGGAGCCUGGCUUCUGGAUUUGCCAGUUACCUUACAAUGUAGUGGUCACAUCUCAUUACAUCUCAACUCUUACACCAUGGAAUUCCAGGAAGUUCUGAAGCCCCAGGAGCCUUCAACAUCUGAAAGCAUUUGGAUUUACCAUUCUGUUUCUCAUCCCCUUGUUUGGAGGCCUCCUAUACCUUGCUGUGAUUGUGUGCUUGUGUGUGUGUGCGUGCGUAGGAAUGUGUGUGUGUGCAUGCAUGCUUUGCUGGUAUGAUGGUUCUCAGCACAGUCUACUGCCUUACAUCCAAGUUCUCCCAUUUAAGCUGGCCCUCUUAGUAUUUUAUCACUGACAUUAUUUGGAAUUUCUGGUGCAUGCUGAUAAUACAAUCAGACUGACUCUUAUUGUUUUUAAAUUCUCCAAAGGCCAUGCCCAUGCACCCCUUUAUUGCCUGUACAUAGGGCUGACUUCGUCUACCGCCUUAGGGUCAAAGUCUCUGCUUGGCGGCAUCCUAUUCACCCUUCAUGACCCAUCCUGGGCUAGGUUUGAUGCUCCUCCUACCCUGCUUUCUCUAUCCUAUCACUUAUCUGAUAUGUUUGUUUAACCAUCUGUUUUCCCCCUCUCUAUUUUAAGGGAUGUGGAAGCAGAGAAUGUGUCUGUUUUGCUCACCAUCACAUCUGCGGAGCCUAGCCCAAUGCCUGGCAUGGAGUCAGGAUGCAAUCAUAAUUUGCCACAUGGAGGAAUAAAUGGUUGGCUUGUCCCGUGACUGGCCACUCUCUGUCUUACUUCCUCAUCUGUAAAAUCGAGCACUUUCUUUACUUACAUCAUAAGAUUUCCAUGAAGGUGAAAUAAACUGAUGAGCAUUUUUUGUUUUUAUUUUUUGAGACAGGGUCUCGCUCUGUCGCCCAGGCUGAAGUGCAAUGAUGUGGUCUCAGCUCACUGCAACCUCCGCCUCCUGGGUUCAAGCAAUUCUCAUGCCUCAGCCUCCCAAGUAGCUGGGAUUACAGGCGUGUGCUACCACGCCCGGCUAAUUUUUAUAUUUUUUUAAGUAGAGAUGGGGUUUCGCCGUGUUGUCCAGGCUGGUCUUGAAUUCCUGACCUCGGGUAGUCCGCGUGCCUCGGCCUCCCAAAGUGCUGGGAUUACUGAUGAGCAUUUUUUAAAAGAGUGCAAAAAGAACUGUAUAAAACUGUGAGGUGGUAAUUGUUACGUGUGCUGUUGAGUGGAAAGGUGAUGCCUGACGCAUCCCUUUGGUUUGUUGUUCUUUCCUGCUCUUCAGACACAAAUAUGUGUCAGCAUUUAAUCAAUACUGUCUUUCCAGAGGGAAGAUUGACAGAGACAAGACUUCCUCUCUGCUCCUGUCAGGGUAAUGGGUGCCUGUUGAGAUGCUUGUCUUAAUUUACCUAAUAGAGGGCAGUUGCCUCUUGCAAACUUGUUGUUUUGAUUUAUUCAGCAGAUUUGCCAUGAUUAAAGU
ensembl:lncRNA novel transcript